rnacentral:rRNA from 1 species
CAGUAGCCGCGGUAAAACGUAGGGUGCAAGCGUUGUCCGGAAUUAUUGGGCGUAAAGAGCUCGUAGGCGGUUUGUCGCGUCUGCUGUGAAAUCCCGAGGCUCAACCUCGGGCUUGCAGUGGGUACGGGCAGACUAGAGUGCGGUAGGGGAGAUUGGAAUUCCUGGUGUAGCGGUGGAAUGCGCAGAUAUCAGGAGGAACACCGAUGGCGAAGGCAGAUCUCUGGGCCGUAACUGACGCUGAGGAGCGAAAGCGUGGGGAGCGAACAGGAUUAGAUACCCGGGUAGUCCCGUCUCUUAUACA